CCCGGUUGUCCCUGGUCAUGCUUCUGACCCGGUUUAGGUUUUAUAGACUCUGGACUCAGCCCACAUGCAUUUAUUAAUUAUUACAAUUAAAAUGUUCAUCCGGCACAGCCAGAAGAGGACUGGUUACCCCACCGAGAGACACUGUAGAUGGAGGGAGAAAGGAGGUGUGAGGAUCAGAACUAGUGUUACUUUUAGAUUCAGGCAUUAGAUUUUAAGAUGAGGGUUAGGUUCAAGUGUUAGGGGUUCAGGUGAGGGUUAGGUUCAAGUGUUAGGGAUUCAGAUGAGGGUCAGGUUCAGGUGUUAGGGGGUUCAGAUUAGGGUUAAGUUCAGGUGUUAGGGGUUCAGAUGAGGGUCAGGUUCAAGUGUUAGGGAUUCAGAUGAGGGUCAGGUUCAGGUGUUAGGGAUUCAGAUGAGGGUCAGGUUCAGGUGUUAGGGGUUCAGAUGAGGUGUGAGAGGUGUGUGAGACCAUCUGACACCGUAACAAUAUUGGUUCAAUAAAUAAUCUGGUGUGUCAUACCAGCUAUUAGAUAUACCCACAUACAAAUACAAAGUCACACACAUAAACACUCAAACAUACACACACCGUUGUUCCAUAGCUGCUGGUGGAGUUACUGUGUCUGGACAUUCUAUUGGACGGGAAGAACUGGAAUGAAGUAGACUCAGUUGGAUCCUGAAGAUCUAGUGAGAGAGAGCAAGAGAGAGAGAGACAGCAAGAGAGAGACACGCAGAAACAGACGCAGAGAUAGACAGGCAGUAAGACAGUCAGAGAGAGUGAGACCAGCACAGAGAGACAGAAAGAGAGAGACACAGAAAGAGACCAGAGAGAAAGGGGUGGAGAGGGAAGAGGACAUUUAGUGUAACCAAAGACGUAUCAUCCAACAUCUUACAGUAUCGAGGCAUCUUAAAAUGUCUGAUCUGUGAUAUUUUUGGUUGAGACUUAUUUUUGAAACUGAACCACAAAAAAACUAUGUUACUUGUUACUAAAAAUAAUUGUAUUUUUAAUUGACAAUUUAUUUCCUAAAAUUACUUUUAGUUGUUUUUUCAACCCUGUUGUGAAUUGAAUGUUUUAUUUUCCUAUAAUUUUUUUUCUAAUUUGCAUCUGAAUUUGUUCAAGUGUAGGUUUCAGAUAGCCUUAAGAGCUCCCCUCAGACGUGUUCAGUAAACACUGUUCAUAGUGACAAUGGAGGAAGCAGAAGUUUUAAAUGAAUGCAGUUGAUUAAACUUUUUGCCGGACCGUGUAAGAAGAGCGAAUGUCUCUUAUCGAGUGAGUGAGUGACUACCCAUUGUUAAUGAAUAUUCACAUAAUUAUACAUAUAAUGUUGCCUUGCAAGGAAUUAAAUAAUAUCAGUAAUUUGAUAACAUCCGAUAAUUCAUUCAUUUUAAAUCUCCAAGCCUCAUUGUAGCUAUUUCCAUAGAUAAAGCAGCAGUACAAUUAGAAGAAUAUAACAUCCACAUAAAUUACAUGGUAUGAAUACAGGGCAUUGUUGCUGAGAAAUUCCUGUGAGGCUCAGAGAAGACCUCAUGCCAGAUAAAGUUGUCUAAGAUAAUACACACUGCUCAAACAAAUGAAGGGAACACUUAAAUCACACAUCUGUCUCAAUGAACAAAAUAUAUCAAAUAUCAAAAUCUUUACUGUAUAUUGUGUAAUUCUUUGAGAACAAAAUUAUGUAACAAUGGUCAAGACUUUUCACAAUUUUGUGAAUUUCAUAAAUUUUCAUCAACUCAUAAGGUCAAAGUAAAAAAAAGAGUUCAAAAGUUUUAUUUGUCAUUUGCAAUAACAAGUUACGGCAAUAAAAUGCUUGGUUUUCCUACUCCAGACAGUGCAGUUAAAAGUCAAAAAGUAACAGUAAUUAUAAUAAAAAAAAAUAAGAUAAACCAUAAUGUGACUUAGUAGUGUGUAUGGCCUCCACAUGCCUGUAUGAACUCCCUACAACGUUCCUGAUGACCCUUGGGCAGGGUUAAAUAUAGAUAUGAAUGUGUCCUUAGAGCCCUACGGCAUAAUUCAAAUGUAGAUAAUUUUUACGUCCAGUUAUAUUUAGAACAAUUCAUUCAGAGAUUUACGACCUUCUCAAUAUGGAUAAGGGGGAAUUAUGUAUUAAAAUGGUCUUAUUGUUCAUAAGGUGUACAUUGACUAAGGGAUCAUGAGUUGCCCUGUCCUUCAUUCCCUGGAAGGGGGUUUACCAUGGAUGGUUCCACAGAGUCAUAGUGUGUUCUGAAUCAAUGGUGACUUGUUUCAAGAUCUGAAUAAAGCACAGGAUUUUAAUGUGAGUGAAUAGUGAGAGCAACAAUGGCUUGGGUGUUGAGUGAAACACCUGUGGAAGCCCUGACUUAUGAAACAGGUUGCAGAAUGGUGGAUAGAAAAGUGGGGAGAAUAUGAACCAGAAAUCCCGAUCAGAGUGGCAAGCAGCCCGAUAGUUCCAAAGACAACUUUAUAGUGCAUAUGAUUAGAAAGGUGCACAUUGACUAAGGGAUCAUAAAAUGCUCAGUUCUUUCCCAGGAAGGGGGUUGACCAUGGAUAGCUGCGAAGAAUCGAGCUUCCUCUCACAUUAGGAAGAGACCUACGGACAGAUUUAGGUUUUUAUGUCUUUAUAACCCUCUCAAGAUGCCUAAGGGAAUUGUGUAUGAAAAUGAAAUGGUCUUAUUGUGCAUAAGGUGUCUGGGCAUUAAAUGGUCUUAUUGUGUAUUAGGUGUCUGGGAAUUAAAUGGUCUUAUUGUGCAUAAGGUGUCUGGGCAUUAAAUGGUCUUAUUGUGUAUAAGGUGUCUGGGCAUUAAAUGGUCUUAUUGUGUAUAAGGUGUCUGGGCAUUAAAUGGUCUUAUUGUGUAUAAGGUGUCUGGGCAUUAAAUGGUCUUAUUGUGUAUAAGGAGUCUGGGCAUUAAAUGGUCUUAUUGUGUAUAAGGUGUCUGGGCAUUAAAUGGUCUUAUUGGCCCUCAUUUAUCAAAAGUGCGUACACCAAAUUUCCAGCGUAAACCUGG
ensembl:lncRNA